ACAAGAAAGAAUGAACAAUAUCACAUUGUUUACAAACUUCUUUAGUUGGUGCUCAUUCUUCCGGUAGCCACUGCUAGCGUUGAGAGGGUAUUUUCCUCAAUGAAAUACGUGAAGAAUACACUAAGAAACAAAAUGGGUGAUGAAUAUUGA
rnacentral:rRNA from 1 species